rnacentral:rRNA from 1 species
GUGGGGAAUUUUGGACAAUGGGCGCAAGCCUGAUCCAGCAAUGCCGCGUGCAGGAAGAAGGCCUUCGGGUUGUAAACUGCUUUUGUACGGAACGAAACGGUCCGGGUUAAUACCCUGGGCUAAUGACGGUACCGUAAGAAUAAGCACCGGCUAACUACGUGCCAGCAGCCGCGGUAAUACGUAGGGUGCAAGCGUUAAUCGGAAUUACUGGGCGUAAAGCGUGCGCAGGCGGUUUUGUAAGACAGGCGUGAAAUCCCCGGGCUCAACCUGGGAAUUGCGAUUGUGACUGCAAGGCUGGAGUGCGGCAGAGGGGGAUGGAAUUCCGCGUGUAGCAGUGAAAUGCGUAGAUAUGCGGAGGAACACCAAUGGCGAAGGCAAUCCCCUGGGCCUGUACUGACGCUCAUGCACGAAAGCGUGGGGAGCAAACAGGAUUAGAAACCCCUGUAGUCC